AGUCCACAUCCAGAAGGCUGGAGCCGUGUUUCACUGACAGGCUGUCAGACUAACGCCCUGAUGAGCUCAGCUGGGACAAACUGGUCUGAUGUUUAGGAACACAGAACGUUCAGAUGUUGGAGCUUCACGUCACCUACUGAGGAAGGAGACCCACCAGUAAAGAGACGGUCUGGACCAGACCAAAAAUAUGGCGAUGACAUCAUGGAACUGGUCUUUGGAAAAGUUUUCCCUGAACCAACUCCGUUUCUAGAUGAGGUAGAGAAGAUCUGCAUCUCACCAACCCUCUGGUCUCAGUAUUCAGACAACGGAGGUCUCCCACUGUUAUCCAGGACCAGUUUGAAGCCCACAUACUGCCCCUCCCUCAUCAUCAGGAAACAUCAAUCCGUAUCCUGAGGACAACAGAAGACGGCAGGAGGACAGGAACUCUGAGACCUAGAUACCACCAGCACCGAGACACAAAGCACCUGUGUGCACAACGCCUGUUUAACUACUAAAGCCUGUUUAUUAUAUUGUUCUACUUAUUUGCUGUGAGGUUAAUACAUAGAAAAUUUGUAUAUUAAUGUAAACAAUUAAAAAAAUCACUGAUUGUAUGUUUCUUUUAGAUGUAAUGGUCCAAACUCCGCCUUGUAGACAUUUAUUGCAUCCUGUAGGUAAAUACACAGAACAGGCUCAGGUCCAGGAUGACCCAGCAUGCUCUUCUUCCAUUCUGGCUGUUAGGGAUUGUAUCAAUAACUCAAUGCCUACUGAUGUUUUCACCUAACGGUAUUUAUUUAGAAUGCAGGUAAGAUUUAACUAUAUUUGUUAGCAAAGCAGACUGAUCUUGGGAAUUUCACUGCAGCACUGAUGUCCACCUCUCUGUACACAUUAGAGAGAAUUACCACUUUACAGCUAAACACAUUUAAUAAAGAUAUAGGCUACGCAUUGCAGACAAUAAAAACAAAGUUGUAAGCAUUAGAAUUAUAAUGAUCACAUUAAAGAACAUUGAGGAAUGUUAUUUAU